rnacentral:rRNA from 1 species
GUUUGAUCAUGGCUCAGAUUGAACGCUGGCGGUAGGCUUAACACAUGCAAGUCGUGCGAGAAAGUAUCUUCGGAUACGAGUAGAGCGGCGGACGGGUGAGUAACGCGUAGGAAUCUACCUAGUAGAAGGGGAUAGCCCGGGGAAACUCGGAUUAAUACCGUAUACCUCCUUUGGGAGAAAGAGGGCCUCUCUUUAUGCUUUCGCUCUUAGAUGAGCCCGCGUACGAUUAGUUUGUUGGUGAGGUAAAGGCUCACCAAGACUACGAUCGUUAGCUGGUUUGAGAGGACGAUCCGCCACAUUGGGACUGAGACACGGCCCAGACUCCUACGGGAGGCAGCAGUGGGGAAUAUUGGACAAUGGGCGCAAGCCUGAUCCAGCCAUACCGCGUGUGUGAAGAAGGCCCUAGGGUUGUAAAGCACUUUAAGUUGGGAAGAAAAGUUAUUGGUUAAUACCCAAUAACCGUGACAUUACCUUCAGAAUAAGGACCGGCUAAUUCCGUGCCAGCAGCCGCGGUAAUACGGAAGGUCCAAGCGUUAAUCGGAAUUACUGGGCGUAAAGCGCGCGUAGGUGGUUUAUUAAGUUGGAUGUGAAAGCCCCGGGCUCAACCUGGGAACUGCAUCCAAAACUGAUUCACUAGAGUACGAUAGAGGGAGGUAGAAUUCACAGUGUAGCGGUGGAAUGCGUAGAUAUUGUGAAGAAUACCAAUGGCGAAGGCAGCCUCCUGGAUCUGUACUGACACUAAGGUGCGAAAGCGUGGGUAGCGAACAGGAUUAGAUACCCUGGUAGUCCACGCCGUAAACGAUGUCAACUAGCUGUUGGGAAACUAUGUUUUUCAGUGGCGCAGCUAACGUAGUAAGUUGACCGCCUGGGGAGUACGGCCGCAAGGCUAAAACUCAAAUGAAUUGACGGGGACCCGCACAAGCGGUGGAGCAUGUGGUUUAAUUCGAUGCAACGCGAAAAACCUUACCUAUACUUGACAUACUUGGAAUGCUUUGUAAUGAAGCAGUGCCUUCGGGAGCCAAGAUACAGGUGCUGCAUGGCUGUCGUCAGCUCGUGUCGUGAGAUGUUCCGUUAAGUCGGAUAACGAGCGCAACCCUUACCUUCAAUUGCCAGCACGUUAUGGUGGGAACUUUGAAGGAACUGCCGGUGAUAAGCCGGAGGAAGGUGGGGAUGACGUCAAGUCCUCAUGGCCCUUACGGGCCGGGCUACACACGUGAUACAAUGGUAACUACAAAAGGCAGCGAAGGAGCAAUCUGGAGCAAAUCCCUAAAAGUUACCUCAGUUCGGAUUGUACUCUGCAACUCGAGUGCAUGAAGUUGGAAUCGCUAGUAAUCGUAGAUCAGCGCGCUACGGUGAAUACGUUCCCGGGUCUUGUACACACCGCCCGUCACACCAUGGGAGUUGG